CUCAUUUCUCCCCAACUGUCUCCCCACCUUCACCACCUAAAUAAAAGCUUUCUUUUUCCACUUUUUCCACUGCCCUCAUCUUUGCCUCCCAAGACAGAAGCUGAAUUUGUGAAUUCAAGUCUUGAAGCUUGAUGGGGAAGACAAGAGAGAAAGCAAGAACUGGAGAAGCAAAGAAGGAAAUUUGCAAAGGAAAAAAUCAAGAUAUUCACUGGAAUUUAUCAGAAUGAAUCAAAUAAAUUCAACAAACUCAACAAGAUUGAUGUGAUGGUUAAUUUUCUGGGUCGACUUGAACAGCCAUGGGGCACGCAGAUAUUUGGUGAAACAUUAUUUCUGGGUAUGUCUGUGACUGUGUUUCUAGAUGAGCAUUUGAGUCUGUGAGUACAGCAGACUGCCCUCCCUAAUGCGGGUGGGUAUGAAUCGAACAAAAAGGCAGAGAAAGACACAAUUUGUUUUCACUACCUGACUGUUUGAGCUGGAACAUCAGUCUUUUCCUGCCCUUGGACUGGAUUUACACCAUCAGCACUCCUGGUUCCCAGGUCUUCGGAUCUGGACAGUGUUUAUGCCAUCAGCACUCUUGGUUCCCAGGCCUUUGGAUUUGGACAGGGCUUACACCAUCAGCACUCCUGGUUCCCAGGCCUUUGGAUUUGAACAGGGUUUAUACCAUCAGCACUCCUGGUUCCCAGGCCUUCGGAUUUGGACAGGGUUUAUACCAUCAGCACUCCUGAUUCCCAGGCCUUAGGAUUUGGACGGGGUUUAUACCAUCAGCACUCCUGGUUCCCACGCCUUAGGAUUUGGACACGGUUUACACCAUCAGCACUCCUUGUUCCCAGGUCUUUGGAUUUGGACAGAGCUUACACCAUCAGCACUCCUGGUUCUCAGGCCUUUGGAUCUGGAGAGGGUUUACACCAUCAGCACUCCUGGUUCCCAGGUCUUUGGAUUUGGACAGAGCUUACACCAUCAGCACUCCUGGUUCCCACGCCUUAGGAUUUGGACACGGUUUACACCAUCAGCACUCCUCGUUCCCAGGUCUUUGGAUUUGGACAGAGCUUACACCAUCAGCACUCCUGGUUCUCAGGCCUUUGGAUCUGGAGAGGGUUUACACCAUCAGCACUCCUGGUUCCCAGGUUUUCCUGGGUCCCCAUCUUGCAGACAGCAGAGUUUGGGACUUCUCAGCCUCCAUAAUUAUGUGAGCCAGUUACUUAUAAUAAGGUCUACUUAUUAUAUCUAAUAGUUCCAACUUUUAACUUCAUAGUUAACUAAUAAGUAGUUCACUUUCAUUUUAAUUAAUGCACUUUUUCCUAAUACAAAAAAAGUAUACUUUUUUCUUAAUACAAAAAGCAGAAAGUAAAAACUCAUAAUCCCACCGUCUGGAGGUAACAUUUAUUAACAUGUUGUUUUUAUACUAACACCGAUACAUAUACAUCUUUAAUGGAAACAAUCUUACAUAGAUGCUGGUUUUAGACGUUUAUCAAUGCCUUUUUUGUAAACUUUUUAUUGAAGUAUUGACAUACAUACAAAAAAGUGUACAAUUCGAAGUAAACAUACCCAUGUAUAUUUCAAGAAACAGAACACUGCCAGUAUCCAUGAAGCCCUGGCAGGCCUACUCUCCGUUACUACCCUCCCCCAAGAGUAGUCCUCAACCAAAUAUGUAACAUCAUAAAUUUCCUUUGUGUGUUUCAGACUUUUGUACAGUUGGAAUCGUGCACUGUGUAUUCUUACAUACCUCACUUUUUUCUUUGCUCGAUAUUUUGUUUGUGAGUUUAUCUAGUUGCUGUGUGAGGUUGCAGUUGAUUUCUUUCUAUUACGGUAUAGAAUUCCAUUGUUGUACCUACUGUUUUUAACUGACGGUUUACCUAAUUACAGUAUUUCUAUGGAAAUACAUAUUCAACAAGCAUUUUUCAGGUACCUAUUAUUUUCCUCAUUCUGUACUACAUAUUCUAAAUGAAUAUUACUCAUUCACUCUAAAUAUCUAGUACACAAUAUUAUCUUAAAUCUCUGUAAUACUUUUUUCACUAUAUAAAUGAACCAUUCACUUUGUUUUUAAUGAUCCUUAAAUGUGGUAAAGAAAAAAAAUGUUGUGCUUCCAUAUUUAGAAUUGUAGAAAGGAAUUUGUGGUUCAGUGAAAAAACUACAUUGUCUAGACCCUAAAGGAUACCCCACAGGGCUAUCUGAUCGAGAUUCCACAGACAUGAUUUUACAACUCUAUAAAUUGUAAGAAACUUACAGCAAAAAAAAAAAAUCUAAUCUAUAGACGUGCAAAUUCUGUCCUACUGGAGAUAAACAAAUAACUUCUC
rnacentral:lncRNA from 10 species